rnacentral:rRNA from 1 species
CCGCCUGGGGAGUACGGCCGCAAGGUUAAAACUCAAAUGAAUUGACGGGGGCCCGCACAAGCGGUGGAGCAUGUGGUUUAAUUCGAUGCAACGCGAAGAACCUUACCUGGUCUUGACAUCCACGGAAGUUUUCAGAGAUGAGAAUGUGCCUUCGGGAACCGUGAGACAGGUGCUGCAUGGCUGUCGUCAGCUCGUGUUGUGAAAUGUUGGGUUAAGUCCCGCAACGAGCGCAACCCUUAUCCUUUGUUGCCAGCGGUCCGGCCGGGAACUCAAAGGAGACUGCCAGUGAUAAACUGGAGGAAGGUGGGGAUGACGUCAAGUCAUCAUGGCCCUUACGACCAGGGCUACACACGUGCUACAAUGGCGCAUACAAAGAGAAGCGACCUCGCGAGAGCAAGCGGACCUCAUAAAGUGCGUCGUAGUCCGGAUUGGAGUCUGCAACUCGACUCCAUGAAGUCGGAAUCGCUAGUAAUCGUGGAUCAGAAU